rnacentral:rRNA from 1 species
UACGUAGGCAGCAAGCGUUGUUCGGAAUUACUGGGCGUAAAGAGUGUGUAGGCGGUGUUCCAAGUUCGGUGUGAAAUCUCCCGGCUCAACUGGGAGGGUGCGCCGAAAACUGGGAGGCUAGAGUGCGGGAUGGGAGAGUGGAAUUCCUGGUGUAGCGGUGAAAUGCGUAGAUAUCAGGAGGAACACCUGUGGUGUAGACGGCUCUCUGGACCGCAACUGACGCUGAGACACGAAAGCGUGGGUAGCAAACAGG